rnacentral:rRNA from 1 species
CAGCCGCCACGGGAAAACGGAGGGGGCUAGCGUUGUUCGGAAUUACUGGGCGUAAAGCGCACGUAGGCGGCUUGGAAAGUUGGAGGUGAAAGCCCAGAGCUCAACUCUGGAAUUGCCUUCAAAACUCCCAAGCUAGAGUUCGGAAGAGGAGAGUGGAAUUCCCAGUGUAGAGGUGAAAUUCGUAGAUAUUGGGAAGAACACCAGUGGCGAAGGCGGCUCUCUGGUCCGAUACUGACGCUGAGGUGCGAAAGCGUGGGGAGCAAACAGGAUUAGAUACCCCUGUAGUCCCUGUCUCUUAUAC